rnacentral:sRNA from 1 species
CAUCGAGACACUUCUCGGCCAGCGAUUU